UUUGUUGUCAAAACUAUAUGGUACCCCUGUAAUCACGUAGAACAGGAUAAAAGGAAAAGAAGGGUUUGAGAGUGAAUGUAACUGCACCUUUGCCUAGAGCAUACUUGUUAUUUGUAAGUCAGCAACAAUGUUACAUGUACUGCUGAGCACUUAGAGCCCAUAGACAGGACCACCAGUGCUUUAAAGUGCUCAGAAGUGCUAAUUACCUUAAAAAAUAGAUACUUAAUCUCUCAUAUGGAAGUCUGUACCUACGCUUGAAUUUCACUUGUUUGUAUCUUUUUCCCCCCUGCAGUUCUAGAAUGAUGGUGGUACUACACACUUAACUCAGGAGGCAGUCUUUGAAGAAGUUAGGCAUUUGUGAGGAGCAACAUAGAAAGAUAAUCCUAGAAAACACUGCCUAACCUGGAACAAAAAGAACAAAACGUCACACAGCAAAUGUGAUUUCAAGAAAUGAACAUAUUUGGAUUGUGUGCAGUCAGACACACAACUACAAGUGCAUGAUUUCUGAUGGCAUUGUGAAGGAAGUUUUGAUAGGAAGUGAUACUGCUACAAGCUUGGAGAUUGGUCCAGGCAGAAUGACGUAGCUGAAAAGAAGAAAAGAAGCUUUAAAGGGAUUGGAAUAAUGAAAUGGUGCAGAGAGAAAGGAAUAAAGUAGAACAAAUAUAGAUGGGAUGGAGGCUGUGCUACACUGAAGCAAGGUCAAAAGGAGAAGCAAGACGAUUUGACUGGAGAAGUCACACUGGGAGCGAAAGAAUGGAUUUUUGCAGCGGUAUUUGGGGAAGUUUGCAUUUCCUAUCUCAUUCCAUUCCAAAUUCCAGAGAUGGGAGAGAUUCAGAACUCUUUAAGCUGACAGAAAAUUAGAAGAGAUAGAGAAUAUACAGCUGUAUCUUUUAAUCACAAUCCUGUGCUUUGUAUGGCAAGCUAAACCUAGCAAUCCUACAGAAAACUUUUGUUUGUACUCACCAGCACAGCAAACAUAGCUGGUGAUCUCCUUUUCCCCCGUGCCUGUGAAAUCCAACUUUGAAUACUGCAUACCAUUGGACUGUGAUUUCAUGUGACCCUGCAUUCAGACUACAUUUUGGUGGGCUUAAACAUGGGAAUGCCACAACAGCUGCUGUCACCACAGAAUGUUACUGUGCAGUGGAAAGUUGUGAGGAGAAGGCAGGAGACUGCUGGAGGUGGCAAUUGGUGGUGUCCUAGAAGAUCUUCACAGCUGUUAUGUCCUUAGGGCCUGAGGCUGGAGGCAGAUUAGACUUUUGCUAGAAAGAGGAGAACACCCGAUCGGGUAGAAGAGCAUAAGCGAGGUGGCCAUGACUUGUGAAGAGGAGACAGCGAUGAGCAAUUAGAAGAGGUUGGUCUGGAAAAAUCUCAUAUGUGAAACAGUUUCUGUUUGGGCUUUUAGACCACUGAACAGUGUCCAAGUAACUUCAUAUUUGAAUCAUUGAAAAUGAUCGGAGGGCUGGAACACCUUUUCUUUGAGUAAAGACUGAGAGCAUUGGGAUUGGUCACCCUGGAGAAGGCUGGCCUAAUAUCAGAUAUGCAAGGGUAACCCUAUUGCAGCUUUUCAGUACCUGAACAGUGCCUACAAGAAAGCUGGAGAGGAAGUGUUUACGAGGGCAUGUAGUGAUAGGACAAGGGGGAACAGGUUCAAAGUGAAAAAGAGUAGGUUUAGAUUGGAUAUUAGGAAGAUAUUCUUUACUGUGAGGGUGGUGAGGCACUGGACAGGUUGGCCAGAGAACUUGUGGAUGCCCUGUCCCUGGAAGUGUUCCAGGGCAGGUUGACUAGUGGAAGAUGUCCCUGUCCAUAGCAGAGGGAUGGGAACUAGAUGGUCCCUUCCAACUCAAACCGUUAGAUGUUUCUAUCAUUCUAUCAUUUACAAAGUCUUUCUUCUGGAGUCUAUAUAAGUAAUAAGAGGACGAGAUGUUGAAGGUGGAUGUGGGUUUGAUGCCCAGUUCUGUCACAGGGAGCAGUCUUUAGCUUACGUUGAAACUCCCGUUUCUUUCCUGCUUGAGUUUAUUUUUGUUCUUUUGUCCUGUUCAAGUCCAUCGAUGCAAUAAACUCUGUUAAAUUUUAA